rnacentral:sRNA from 1 species
CCUUAUUCAGGAUUGUGGAGCUGGAAAAAGGAAGGAUUUU